CAGCAGCCGCGGUAAUACGUAGGGUGCAAGCGUUAAUCGGAAUUACUGGGCGUAAAGCGUGCGCAGGCGGUUUGUUAAGACAGAUGUGAAAUCCCCGGGCUCAACCUGGGAACUGCAUUUGUGACUGGCAAGCUAGAGUCUGGCAGAGGGGGGUGGAAUUCCGCGUGUAGCAGUGAAAUGCGUAGAUAUGCGGAGGAACACCGAUGGCGAAGGCAGCCCCCUGGGCCAACACUGACGCUCAUGCACGAAAGCGUGGGGAGCAAACAGGAUUAGAUACCCCAGUAGUCCCUGUCUCUUAUAC
rnacentral:rRNA from 1 species